UCCCUGAUGGCCUAGUGGUUAAGGAUUCAGCAUUGUCACUGCUGUGCCUCAGGUUCAAUUCCUGGCCUAGGAA
rnacentral:tRNA from 1 species